UACGUAGGGGGCAAGCGUUGUCCGGAAUCAUUGGGCGUAAAGAGCGUGUAGGCGGUCCGGUAAGUCAGCUGUGAAAGUCAAGGGCUCAACCCUUGAAAGCCGGUUGAUACUGUCGGGCUAGAGUCCGGAAGAGGCGAGUGGAAUUCCCGGUGUAGCGGUGAAAUGCGCAGAUAUCGGGAGGAACACCAGUGGCGAAGGCGGCUCACUGGACUGGUACUGACGCUGAGGCGCGAAAGCGUGGGGAGCAAACAGG
rnacentral:rRNA from 1 species